rnacentral:snoRNA from 1 species
CUUUAUGAUGAAACGGCACUGGGCUCCGACUCAAGUAUGAGCAAGACAUGCCACUUCUGCGACAGGCCUAGAAAACCUCGUCCACUGAAU